UGGAGGAUGGAAUUAGAAAUAACGAGGUGGU
rnacentral:piRNA from 1 species